rnacentral:rRNA from 1 species
GUAACACGUAGUCAACCUGCCCUGGAGACCUGAACAACCCCGGGAAACUGGGAUUAAUGCGGGAUAGGUCAUCUCAUCUGGAAGGAGAGAUGGCUCAAAGGGGUGCGCGGGCUUCUUCCGCGUAUUCGCUCCAGGAUGGGACUGCGACCGAUCAGGCUGUUGGCGAGGUAAUGGCUCACCAAACCUGUAACCGGUACGGGCCUUGAGAGAGGGGGCCCGGAGAUGGACACUGAGAGAAGGGUCCAGGUCCUACGGGGCGCAGCAGGCGCGAAACCUUCGCAAUGCGCGCAAGCGUGACGAGGUUAAUCCGAGUGAUCCCCGCUGAGGAGAUCUUUUGUCUGCUGUAAAUAGGCCGGCGAAUAAGGGGAGGGCAAGCCUGGUGUCAGCCGCCGCGGUAAUACCAGCUCCUCGAGUGGUCGGGGCGAUUAUUGGGCCUAAAGCAUCCGUAGCCGGUUCCGUAGGUCUUCUGUCAAAUCCAACCGCUCAACCGUUGACCUGCAGAGGAUACCGCGAGAC